rnacentral:lncRNA from 1 species
UGAAGUGUAUAAAUAUGUAAGGGCAACCUCACCCUUUUAGCUAGCUUUUGGGUUGAGAUCCAAGCAUAUUUAACAUGGUAUCACAGCCGGAUUAAGGUCUGCAAUAUGGGCAUUUGACCCAGCACCACGCUAGGCGUGAGGGUGGGUGUUGAAUAUGUAGUUUGUGUUGUUGGAGUUUGUUUGAAGUUCCACAUUGCUUAGGUUCCCGGGAUGUGAAAUGUUGCUUAGGUUCUCAAGAUGUGAAGUGUAUAAAUAUGUGAGGGCAACCUCACCCUUUGAGCUAGCUUUUGGGAUGAGAUCCAAACAUAUUUAACAAACCAAGACCAUGCGUGAGGGUGGGUGUUGAAUAUGUUGUUUGUGUUGUCGGAGUUUGUUUGAAGUGCCACAUUGCUUAGGUUCCCGCGAUGUGAAGUGUAUAAAUAUAUGAGAGCAACCUCACCCUUUGAGCUAGCUUUUGGGGUUGAGAUCCAAACAUAUUUAACAGAGAGCAAUGAGUUGUUGUUGUUGUUGGUUACAAAAUAUAUCAAAAUAAUUGAUGAGGCUUAGUG